GGCGGCGUAGCCAAGCGGUAAGGCAGAGGUCUGCAAAACCUUUAUGCGCCAGUUCGAAUCUGGCCGCCGCCUCCA
rnacentral:tRNA from 1 species